rnacentral:rRNA from 1 species
GAGUAACGCGUAUGCAACCUGCCUGAUACCGGGGUAUAGCCCAUGGAAACGUGGAUUAACACCCCAUAGUACUUUUAUCCUGCAUGGGAUGUGAGUUAAAUGUUUAAGGUAUCGGAUGGGCAUGCGUCCUAUUAGUUAGUUGGCGGGGUAACAGCCCACCAAGACGAUGAUAGGUAGGGGUUCUGAGAGGAAGGUCCCCCACAUUGGAACUGAGACACGGUCCAAACUCCUACGGGAGGCAGCAGUGAGGAAUAUUGGUCAAUGGACGAGAGUCUGAACCAGCCAAGUCGCGUGAGGGAAGACUGCCCUAUGGGUUGUAAACCUCUUUUAUAAGGGAAGAAUAAGUUCUACGUGUAGAAUGAUGCCUGUACCUUAUGAAUAAGCAUCGGCUAACUCCGUGCCAGCAGCCGCGGUAAUACGGAGGAUGCGAGCGUUAUCCGGAUUUAUUGGGUUUAAAGGGUGCGUAGGCGGUUUAUUAAGUUAGUGGUUAAAUAUUUGAGCUAAACUCAAUUGUGCCAUUAAUACUGGUAAACUGGAGUACAGACGAGGUAGGCGGAAUAAGUUAAGUAGCGGUGAAAUGCAUAGAUAUAACUUAGAACUCCGAUAGCGAAGGCAGCUUACCAGACUG